rnacentral:rRNA from 1 species
UAAGGAAUAUUGCUCAAUGGGAGAAAUCCUGAAGCAGCAACGCCGCGUGGAGGAUGAAGGGUCUAUGACUUGUAAACUCCUGUAAAGAAGGAAAAAAUUCCCAUUUGAUGGGAGAUGAUGGUACUUCUGGAGUAAGCCCCGGCUAACUACGUGCCAGCAGCCGCGGUAAUACGUAGGGGGCAAGCGUUGUCCGGAUUUACUGGGUGUAAAGGGUGCUCAGGCGGAUUUGUAAGUCAGAGGUGAAAUCUUGCAGCCUAACUGUGAAACUGCCUUUGAUACUGCAAGCCUAGAGUAUGGAAGAGAGUGAUGGAAUAUCUGGUGUAGCAGUGAAAUGCGUAGAUAUCAGAUAGAACACCAAUGGCGAAGGCAGUCACUUGGUCCAUUACUGACGCUAAAGCACGAAAGCGUGGGUAACAAACA